GUGUCUGAGGGGUUGGAGCAAAUGCGGUUAUAGCUCAGAGCUUGGCUGUAGACGAUGGAUCAUGUGGUGUGUCCGGGAUGAAAGGUGGAGGCAUGAAGGUAGGCAUAGCGGUUGGUGGGGUGGGAUGGUGUUAACGUGAGUGUCACUUAUUUGUACCGUGGUGUCUAGGAAGUGGAUCUGCCUUGUAGAUUGGUCCAGGCUGAGGUUGAUGGUGGGGUGGAAACUGUUGAAAUCAUGCUCCAAUACUUCUGUUAGUCUUUAAGGUGCCACAGGACUCUUCGUCACAUUUUACAGAUCCAGACUAACACGGUUACCCCUCUGAUACUUGUAGUAGUCUAUAUUUGCCUUUAUCUUGUUAGAGGUUAACAAUGGAACCAAACAGUUCCUGUCUAGGGCUGUAUUCUGUUAAUUCAGAGAUCAAAAGGGAAUAAUAACAUUUAGAUGAAACUUGGGUGUAAUAAUGUCAUUGCAUGUCUCUUUAAAGUUUGUGGUAAACUGUCUAUGAACUUCUUUAUGGAUAAUUACCUUAUGUUAAUCCAUGUGGUUAAUUACUGGUGAUGUUUAGGAAAUAGAAGGUUACUUCAAAAGCCUAGUGAACAAUAGUUCUCCCAAGGACUGCCUGCUGAUGAGAAGCUGCAAAAAUCUGUAUAAAAACUCUUGGGACCUGAUCCUUUUCUCUCCAAUCUUGUUAAGCUUUAUUCAGAGGAAGUUUGAGUCAUAAGAUGGAGAUCUCCAGUCCCAUCUGGACUGCCCUGAUAUGGAACAUUUUUACAUGGACUAUAACCUCAUGAAAGGAUUCUGAAAAGGACUCUUUACAAUUCUUAAGCACUAUCUCUACAGUGAAACUGACCUAAGGACUCUAUUCAUGUCUGACAGAAGUGACAAAGUGCAAGCUGGUCUCCAUAUUGGAAGAGAAGGUUCGAGGUCUGGAGAAGCAAGUAUCAACCGUGCGUUGCCUACGAGAAAAUGAAGAUUUCCUGGACAGACGUCAGGAUAUGCUUGUACGGGCACAACGUUCUGAAGAUUCGGAGCAGGCUGCCCAGAGGGGACAGAGGGAUGGUGAAGAAAUUUGGCAGCAUGUGACCUCCAGAAGAAGAAAGAGGAGCGUCCAUGUACCAGCAAUGGAGAUACAGCUAUAUCUUGUUAUAAUGUAGUAGCAAACAUUUGCAUUGUGUAUAACCCAUCAAACAAGGAAGAAGCCUUGUGGAAUGAAAAUGAAGAACCUGAACAGAAAACAGCUAAUAUCAAAGCAAGUGGGCGUUGUGUGUGAGACUCGGAGGUCAAAGACUCAAAAUGCGUUCCUCACUCUCUGCCAUGAGAGGAAAAGCCCACGUGUGUAGUGACCCUGUCAACCUGUUUUCUCUAAGGCCUGGUCUACACUACGGGUUUAGGUCGACUUUAGCAGCGUUAAACCGAAUUAAGCCUGGACACGUCCACACAACGAAGCCCUUUCUUUC